AAGGCGCGCGUGUUUAAUGUGUUUCAUGAGGCAGCCAAACCCUAGUUUUAUUUUCCAAAGGAAUUAUAUUUUUUGGAAAAUAUAUUUUUGCGGUUUCAAAAAUAUAACUAUUAUUUUCAAAAAUAUAUCUCUGCUGCCGCAAUUCUAGAAGCCCUAAUUUUGUCUUGAAGCCCAAGUCGUUCUACUGCUAUAAAUACGAAGGCAAGCAUAUGGUUUCAAGCAUCUAAAAUCGAGUCUUACAAAGCG
rnacentral:lncRNA from 1 species